rnacentral:rRNA from 1 species
AGUGAACGCUGGCGGUAGGCCUAACACAUGCAAGUCGAACGGCCGCACAGUAAGAGCUUGCUCUUACGGGUGGCGAGUGGCGGACGGGUGAGGAAUACAUCGGAAUCUACUUUUUCGUGGGGGAUAACGUAGGGAAACUUACGCUAAUACCGCAUACGACCUACGGGUGAAAGCAGGGGAUCUUCGUACCUUGCGCGAUUGAAUGAGCCGAUGUCGGAUUAGCUAGUUGGCGGGGUAAAGGCCCACCAAGGCGACGAUCCGUAGCUGGUCUGAGAGGAUGAUCAGCCACACUGGAACUGAGACACGGUCCAGACUCCUACGGGAGGCAGCAGUGGGGAAUAUUGGACAAUGGGCGCAAGCCUGAUCCAGCCAUACCGCGUGGGUGAAGAAGGCCUUCGGGUUGUAAAGCCCUUUUGUUGGGAAAGAAAAGCAGCAGGUUAAUACCCCGCUGUUCUGACGGUACCCAAAGAAUAAGCACCGGCUAACUUCGUG